UAUUAUACCAGUAUGUAUAAGCUGUUCCAGAAUAUUAAUAGAUAUAUCCUUUAAAUUUAAAGAAUUUGGCGGUAGUUUAGUCUUGUUAGAGGAACCUGUUUUUAAAUCGAUACACCACGUAAAAUUUCACUCACUUUAUUCAGCUUAUAUACCGUCAUUAUCAGAUAAUUUUUAAAAAAUCAAUUAUUAAGAUUUAAAAGGGAAGAUUAAGUUAAAUUAGAUCAAGGUGUAGCCUAUAAGUGAGUUAAAAUGGGUUACAAUAAAAUUUAUUUAAACGGAAUAGUUACAAUAAAUUGUACUAUAGAAGGAGGAUUUAAUUGUAAUGCAAGUUUAAUAAGCUAUAAAGAUAUAAGCUCUAAACUAU
rnacentral:rRNA from 1 species